AUUUAGGUUUUGAACAUCCAUGUCACAAUACGUGGUGUUGCAACACGCUGUUGCGUUGUGUGCUUGCGCUGGGGUGUUGGGUUUGAAGGCUCAGUGAACAGCCGGGAGCUCCUGGGCUGGGCAGAGGGGAGGGGUGGCCACGGUGUGGGGUGGCCACGGGAGGAUGAUCUGGGCUGUGAGAGGGCAUGGGAGGACACGGCUAGAUAAGAACCAGGAAGCCGGCAUCUUCCUUGCCUUGUGAGUCUCAACCAAAUCCCUUCGCCCAAGAGAUCGCGGAGGCGCCGCAGCCAGCCUGGGCUCUGCGCGCAGCCGUGCGUUGCCUGCGUGGGCACCCGGGGGGGACGCGAUGCGCCUGAGCUCCGGAGGGAGGGAUCGCAUCGUCCCCGCGUCGCCCGCAUCGGCUGCUCCCCGGCGUGCCGGCCACGCCGGACCCAGCCUCGUCGGAUGCCGCUGACCCGCCGGCGAGCGAAGGUGCGCCGAGGCUCCUGGGGGCAGUUGCAGGGGUUGUAACUUCUCCGCCAGCAAAGCGGCCGGGCAGCACCUGCAGUCGGGGUAGGAGGGCUGUGCUUUGGCAAGGACGCCGCUCAAGCCUCGAUAAAACGGGGAGCGUGUCCUCGCUGCCAGCGCCAGGAGCAGGGCAGAGCAGCAGCGGGGACCAGCAAACCCAGUGUGGGGGAGUUUCAGCUGCCCGGAGUCCCAGGGCUUGUUUAAACAAGGUUUGUGCGUUGCGAUAUUUGUGG